rnacentral:rRNA from 1 species
UGAACGCUGGCGGCGUGCUUAACACAUGCAAGUCGAACGGAAAGGCUCCUGCUUGCAGGGGUACUCGAGUGGCGAACGGGUGAGUAACACGUGGGUGAUCUGCCCUGCACUUCGGGAUAAGCCUGGGAAACUGGGUCUAAUACCGGAUAGGACGAUGGUUUGGAUGCCAUUGUGGAAAGUUUUUUCGGUGUGGGAUGAGCUCGCGGCCUAUCAGCUUGUUGGUGGGGUAAUGGCCUACCAAGGCGUCGACGGGUAGCCGGCCUGAGAGGGUGUACGGCCACAUUGGGACUGAGAUACGGCCCAGACUCCUACGGGAGGUAGCAGUGGGGAAUAUUGCACAAUGGGCGCAAGCCUGAUGCAGCGACGCCGCGUGGGGGAUGACGGCCUUCGGGUUGUAAACUCCUUUCGCUAGGGACGAAGCGCAAGUGACGGUACCUGGAGAAGAAGCACCGGCUAACUACGUG